rnacentral:rRNA from 1 species
UACGUAGGGGGCGAGCGUUGUCCGGAUUUAUUGGGCGUAAAGAGCUCGUAGGCGGCUCGGUAAGUGAGGUGUGAAAACUCCAGGCUCAACCUGGAGACGCCACCUCAUACUGCCGUGGCUAGAGUCCGGUAGGGGAGCAUGGAAUUCCAGGUGUAGCGGUGAAAUGCGUAGAGAUCGGUAGGAACACCAGUGGCGAAGGCGGUCUCCUGGCCCACUCUUGACGCUGAGGCGCGAAAGCUGGGGGAGCGAACGGG